GACAAACGCUGGCGGCGUGCCUAACACAUGCAAGUCGAGCGAUAAGGGAGCUUCGGCUCCUGGAAAGCGGCGAACGGGUGAGUAACACGUGGGCAACCUGCCUCAAGGAUUGGGAUAACGUCGGGAAACCGACGCUAAUACCGAACGAUGUCGUCCGGCGCAAGCCGGCCGACCAAAGGGUAGCUUCGGCCUCCGCCUUGAGAUGGGCCCGCGUCCUAUCAGCUUGUUGGUGAGGUAAUGGCUCACCAAGGCUACGACGGGUAGCUGGUCUGAGAGGAUGAUCAGCCACACUGGGACUGAGAUACGGCCCAGACUCCUACGGGUGGCAG
rnacentral:rRNA from 1 species